ensembl:snoRNA SNORD115 Small nucleolar RNA SNORD115
AGGCCAAUAAUGACACCUAAACUUGUCUUGAAGAGAGACAAUGAAAAAAAAUCAUGCUCUAUAGAAUUAUGCUGAGGCCU